AAACCGUGAUGGGGGCACUGAGUGGUGUAGCUUUUAAACCUCUCCCAAGCUUCACAGAAAGUUUCAUUGUUUUUCUGUGUGAAGCCUGAGAAUCUCGUUCCUCAAUCU
rfam:Arabidopsis thaliana chromosome 2, complete sequence.